rfam:Helianthus annuus linkage group 5, whole genome shotgun sequence.
AGGCCGUGAUGGGGACACUUGCGUAAUAGCUCCUUGAACCUUUCCCAAGUUUCAUAUAAGGAUUCUCCGUCCUCUUGUGAGUGUAUAUAGAAAUUUUUGGGCUAGUUC